rnacentral:rRNA from 1 species
UACGAAGGGGGCUAGCGUUGCUCGGAAUCACUGGGCGUAAAGCGCACGUAGGCGGCUUUCUAAGUCGGUGGUGAAAUCCCAAGGCUCAACCUUGGAACUGCCUUUGAUACUGGGGAUCUCGAGUCCGGGAGAGGUGAGUGGAACUGCGAGUGUAGAGGUGAAAUUCGUAGAGAUUGGGUGGAACACCAGUGGCGAAGGCGCCUAUCUGGCUGACAACUGACGCUGAGACUCGAAAGCAUGGGGAGCAAACAGG